rnacentral:rRNA from 1 species
CAGUAGCCGCGGUAAUACGGAGGGUGCAAGCGUUAAUCGGAAUUACUGGGCGUAAAGCGCACGCAGGCGGUUUGUUAAGUCAGAUGUGAAAUCCCCGGGCUCAACCUGGGAACUGCAUUUGAAACUGGCAAGCUAGAGUCUCGUAGAGGGGGGUAGAAUUCCAGGUGUAGCGGUGAAAUGCGUAGAGAUCUGGAGGAAUACCGGUGGCGAAGGCGGCCCCCUGGACGAAGACUGACGCUCAGGUGCGAAAGCGUGGGGAGCAAACAGGAUUAGAUACCCGAGUAGUCCCUGUCUCUUAUAA